rnacentral:snRNA from 1 species
UCGGCGUUCGAAUUGUAGU